UACGGAGGGUGCAAGCGUUAUCCGGAUUCACUGGGUUUAAAGGGAGCGUAGGCGGAACGAUAAGUCAGUGGUGAAAGCCCCGAGCUCAACUUGGGAAUUGCCAUUGAUACUGUUGUUCUUGAGUUCGGUUGAGGUAGGCGGAAUGUUACAUGUAGCGGUGAAAUGCUUAGAUAUGUAACAGAACACCGAUUGCGAAGGCAGCUUACCAAGCCGACACUGACGCUGAGGCUCGAAAGCGUGGGGAUCAAACAGG
rnacentral:rRNA from 2 species